rnacentral:rRNA from 1 species
GAUGAACGCUGGCGGCGUGCUUAACACAUGCAAGUCGAACGAAGCACUUUUACGGAAGUUUUCGGAUGGAAGUGAUAGUGACUGAGUGGCGGACGGGUGAGUAACGCGUGGGUAACCUGCCUCAUACAGGGGGAUAACAGUUAGAAAUGACUGCUAAUACCGCAUAAGCGCACAGGACCGCAUGGUCUGGUGUGAAAAACUCCGGUGGUAUGAGAUGGACCCGCGUCUGAUUAGCUAGUUGGUGAGGUAACGGCCCACCAAGGCGACGAUCAGUAGCCGACCUGAGAGGGUGAUCGGCCACAUUGGGACUGAGACACGGCCCAAACUCCUACGGGAGGCAGCAGUGGGGAAUAUUGGGCAAUGGGGGGAACCCUGACCCAGCAACGCCGCGUGGAGGAAGAAGGUUUUCGGAUCGUAAACUCCUGUCCUCAGGGAAGAGCAGAAGACGGUACCUGAGGAGGAAGCCCCGGCUAACUACGUG